GGAUGUGAGGGUGAUGUGGUUGUGACAUCUGUCACUCCAUUGAUCGCUAGUGUUAGGCUGAUCUGGCCAGCUAGGCAGGUGUGUGUUAACUUACUUCCCUUGUUCUCCCCCUUCAUCUCCUGAAGCCUUGCGCUCAGAUGAAGAUUGUUACCUGGGGGCAAUUAAAGUGCACUUCCCUGAUAGAUCCUCCAAAUAUCUCUAGGACAAAAUUGUAGGAAUUAAACACCAGGGUUAGUCAUACAUCCACAUAGGCACUGCAUGUGGCAGUUUGCCAUCCUUU
rnacentral:snRNA from 1 species